AACGAACGCUGGCGGCAUGCCUAACACAUGCAAGUCGAACGAGACCUUCGGGUCUAGUGGCGCACGGGUGCGUAAAGCGUGGGAACCUGCCCUUAGGUUCGGAAUAACUCCCCGAAAGGGGUGCUAAUACCGGAUAAUGUUUUCGGACCAAAGAUUUAUCGCCUUUGGAUGGGCCCGCGUUGGAUUAGCUAGUUGGUAGGGUAAAAGCCUACCAAGUCGACGAGCCAUAGCUGGUCUGGGAGGAGGAUCAGCCACACUGGGACUGAGACACGACCCAGACUCGAGCGAGAGGCAGCAGUUGGUAAUAUUGGACAGUGGGCGAAAGCCUGAGACAGCAAGGCCGGGUGAGUGGUGAAGGCCUUAGGGUUGUAUAGCUCUUUUACCCGAGAUGAUAAUGACAGUACCGGGAGAAUAAGCACCGGCUAACUCCGUG
rnacentral:rRNA from 1 species